rnacentral:rRNA from 1 species
GAUGAACGCUAGCGAUAGGCUUAACACAUGCAAGUCGAGGGGCAGCACAAGGUAGCUUGCUAUCUGGGUGGCGACCGGCGCACGGGUGCGUAACGCGUAUGCAACUUGCCCUAUACAGGAGGAUAACCCGUCGAAAGACGGACUAAUACUGCGUAUGCUCACAACUUGGCAUCAAGUGGUGAGGAAAGAAAUUCGGUAUAGGAUAGGCAUGCGUCCCAUUAGCUUGUUGGUGAGGUAACGGCUCACCAAGGCAGCGAUGGGUAGGGGAACUGAGAGGUUUAUCCCCCACACUGGUACUGAGACACGGACCAGACUCCUACGGGAGGCAGCAGUGAGGAAGAUUGGUCAAUGGGCGCGAGCCUGAACCAGCCAAGUCGCGUGAAGGAUGACUGUCUUAUGGAUUGUAAACUUCUUUUAUACGGGAAUAACAAGAGUCACGUGUGACUCCCUGCAUGUACCGUAUGAAUAAGCAUCGGCUAACUCCGUG